AGAUGAGGUAGAGGUGCGAUUAACUACAAGUAACUUUGAGAAGUGAUUAAGGUUAAGCUAUGAUCCAAAGUGAAAAGGAUUAAUUGCCGAAACUCUAAAAAAUCCUUAAAUUUUAGAGUUGGUUUAAUACUCAAUAGGUAUUAAACUGCUAUUAAAGGAAAGACACCUUUAAUAGAGUGCUAUCUCGUUA
rnacentral:ncRNA from 2 species